rnacentral:rRNA from 1 species
GCAAGGCUGAAACUCAAAGGAAUUGACGGGGGCCCGCACAAGCGGUGGAGCAUGUGGUUCAAUUCGACGCAACGCGAAGAACCUUACCUGGGCUCGAAGCGCAGUGGACUGCGGUGGAAACAUCGCUUUCCCGCAAGGGACUGCUGCGUAGGUGCUGCAUGGCUGUCGUCAGCUCGUGUCGUGAGAUGUUGGGUUAAGUCCCGCAACGAGCGCAACCCUUAUUGCCAGUUGCCAUCAUUCAGUUGGGCACUCUGGCGAAACUGCCCCGGAUAACGGGGAGGAAGGUGGGGAUGACGUCAAGUCCUCAUGGCCUUUAUGUCCAGGGCUACACACGUGCUACAAUGGUCGGUACAAACCGUCGCAAACCCGUGAGGGGGAGCUAAUCGGAAAAAGCCGACCUCAGUUCGGAUUGUAGUCUGCAACUCGACUACAUGAAGCUGGAAUCGCUAGUAAUCGCGGAUCAGCACGCCGCGGUGAAUACGUUCCCGGGCCUUGUACACACCGCCCGUCACGUCACGAAAGUGGGCUGUACUAGAAGUCGGUGCACCAACUCGCAAGAGAAGUAGCCGCCCAAGGUAUAACUCAUGAUUGGGGUGAAGU